rnacentral:rRNA from 1 species
CAAGACCUUACGCUUUUGGAGCGGCCGAUGUCUGAUUAGCUAGUUGGUGAGGUAAAGGCUUACCAAGGCAUCGAUCAGUAGCUGGUCUGAGAGGACGACCAGCCACACUGGGACUGAGACACGGCCCAGACUCCUACGGGAGGCAACAGUGGGGAAUUUUGGACAAUGGGGGAAACCCUGAUCCAGCCAUGCCGCGUGAGUGAAGAAGGCCUUCGGGUUGUAAAGCUCUUUCAGCCGGAACGAAACAGUAACGGCUAAUACCUGUGACUACUGACGGUACCGGAAGAAGAAGAACCGGCUAACUACGUGCCAGCAGCGGCGGUAAUACGUAGGGUGCGAGCGUUAAUCGGAAUUACUGGGCGUAAAGCGUGCGCAGGCGGUUUUGUAAGUCAGAUGUGAAAUCCCCGGGCUAAACCUGGCAACU